AACUAGUUUAUGGUUAUUUAAUUGAAUAAGCUUUGGUGGGGACCACUUCCGGUAUAUAUUCACGUCGGUUCAGGUUCUACAAUUCAAAAAGCGUAAUUUUCCAACAUUUAAAGUAGAAAAAUGAUUAGCUAGCUGGUACAUCACACAUAUGAAAAAUCAUGAAUAGACACACUCCUCAGCCAUUGAAGUAAUAGACAAACUGAACGAAUUAGAACCACUUUGUGAUGAAGUCAUGAAAAUCUACGAUUUUGAAGCUUUAAACCCCACCAUAUAUCUGGAACUAGCAUGCAUUGAAUUAUAUCAUUUAUUUUUAACAUACCUUCUGAAACAAAAAUGUGAUCCAGUAAUCUUGAAGAUUUAUGCUACAUAUUAUUAUAUGAAUCAUAUUUUAAUUACAGUGAAUUAUUUUAUAGACCAAAAUAGGAGAGUACCAAUGGGUAGUCCAUUAUCCCCAAUAAUUGCUGAAUUAAUCGUAAGAAGAAAAGGACAAUCAGCCCUACCUAUAUUAAAUAAUGAGUAAAAAUUUACAAAAGCUAUGUCGACAACAUAUUAAUUAUCAGAGAGAAAAAAAAAAGAAAAUAUGUUGGCUAUUGAACACAUUAUUUCUGAUGUGAACCUGGGACUAAUUUAAAAAAAAAAAAAUCCAACAAAUUAGAAAUAAAUUAUUGUAGUUUUAUAAAAGUGGUAAAACUCGUCACAAUAGCAGUUGUGAGGAGGCUUUUUUGGUUCAGCAAAUGUUUUCGGUGAGAGUGCUUACCAUCUUCAGGCUUGCAAAUGCGGCGGAUUUAGAAUAUUG
rnacentral:lncRNA from 1 species